AUGUCAGCGGUUCGAGUCUGCUUAUCUCCAGCCCGUGAGCUUAGCGGAUACUAUGAUAGCGAUAGCACCGAAUUUUGCCAAUUCGGCAGUUCGAUCUAUGAUUUCACAUUCAUGGACGUUGAUAAGAUCCUUCCAUUUAGUAGCACCUUAGGAUGGCAUAGCCUUAACGUUAAUGGUGAGGUUCAAAAGAGGAAAGGCUUGCGGUGGAUACCUAGGCACCCAGAGACGAGGAAGGGCGUAGCAAGCGACGAAAUGCUUCGGGGAGUUGAAAAUAAGCAUAGAUCCGGAGAUUCCCAAAUAGGUCAACCUUUUAAACUGCCUGCUGAAUCCAUGAGCAGGCAAGAGACAACCUGGCGAACUGAAACAUCUUAG
rnacentral:rRNA from 1 species